CCUACGGGUGGCAGCAGUGAGGAAUAUUGGUCAAUGGACGAGAGUCUGAACCAGCCAAGUAGCGUGAAGGAUGACUGCCCUAUGGGUUGUAAACUUCUUUUAUAUGGGAAUAAAAUGUUCCACGUGUGGGAUUUUGUAUGUACCAUAUGAAUAAGGAUCGGCUAACUCCGUGCCAGCAGCCGCGGUAAUACGGAGGAUCCGAGCGUUAUCCGGAUUUAUUGGGUUUAAAGGGAGCGUAGGUGGAUUGUUAAUGCAGUUGUGAAAGUUUGCGGCUCAACCGUUAAAUUGCAGUUGAAACUGGCAGUCUUGAGUACAGUAGAGGUGGGCGGAAUGCGUGGUGUAGCGGUGAAAUGCUUAGAUAUCACGAAGAACUCCGAUUGCGAAGGCAGUUCACUGGACUGCAACUGACACUGAGGCUCGAAAGUGUGGGUAUCAAACAGGAUUAGAUACCCUUGUAGUC
rnacentral:rRNA from 1 species